AAGGUGUCUCAGCUCAUGUGUCUUGGCUAAUGUGUCUUGGCUAAUGUGUCUUGGCUACUGUGUCUUGGCUAAUGUGUCUUGGCUAAUGUGUCUUGGCUAAUGUGUCUCGGCUAAUUUGUCUUGGCUAAGGUGUCUUGGCUAAUGUGUCUUGGCUAAUGUGUCUUGGCUAAUGUGUCUUGGCUAAGGUGUCUUGGCUAAGGUGUCUUGGCUAAGGUGUCUUGGCUAAUGUGUCUUGGCUAAUGUGUCUUGGCUAAGGUGUCUUGGCUAAGGUGUCUUGGCUAAUGUGUCUUGGCUUAUGUGUCUUGGCUAAGGUGUCUUGGCUAAUGUGUCUUGGCUAAUGUGUCUUGGCUAAUGUGUCUUGGCUAAUGUGUCUCGGCUCAUGUGUCUUGGCUAAGGUGUCUUGGCUAAGGUGUCUUGGCUAAGGUGUCUUGGCUAAGGUGUCUUUUCUAAGGUGUCUUGGCUAAGGUGUCUUGGCUAAUGUGUCUUGGCUAAUGUGUCUUGGCUAAUGUGUCUUGGCUAAUGUGUCUCGGCUAAUGUGUCUUGGCUAAGGUGUCUUGGCUAAUGUGUCUUGGCUAAUGUGUCUUGGCUAAGGUGUCUUGGCUAAGGUGUCUCGGCUAAUGUGUCUCGGCUAAUGUGUCUUGGCUAAGGUGUCUUGGCUAAGGUGUCUUGGCUAAUGUGUCUUGGCUAAUGUGUCUUGGCUAAGGUGUCUUGGCUAAGGUGUCUUGGCUAAGGUGUCUUGGCUAAGGUGUCUUGGCUAAUGUGUCUUGGCUAAGGUGUCUUGGCUAAUGUGUCUUGGCUAAUGUGUCUCGGCUAAUGUGUCUUGGCUAAUGUGUCUUGGCUAAUGUGUCUUGGCUAAUGUGUCUUGGCUAAGGUGUCUUGGCUAAGGUGUCUUGGCUAAUGUGUCUUGGCUAAGGUGUCUUGGCUAAGGUGUCUUGGCUAAGGUGUCUUGGCUAAUGUGUCUUGGCUAAUGUGUCUCGGCUAAUGUGUCUUGGCUAAUGUGUCUUGGCUAAUGUGUCUUGGCUAAUGUGUCUUGGCCAAGGUGUCUUGGCUAAGGUGUCUUGGCUAAUGUGUCU